rnacentral:rRNA from 1 species
UACAGAGGUCUCAAGCGUUGUUCGGAUUCAUUGGGCGUAAAGGGUGCGUAGGCGGCGGGGCAAGUCUGAUGUGAAAUCCCGGGGCUCAACCUCGGAACUGCAUUGGAUACUGCCUUGCUUGAGUACUGGAGAGGAGACUGGAAUUUACGGUGUAGCAGUGAAAUGCGUAGAUAUCGUAAGGAAGACCAGUGGCGAAGGCGAGUCUCUGGACAGUUACUGACGCUGAGGCACGAAGGCCAGGGGAGCAAACGGG